UACGUAGGGGGCUAGCGUUGUCCGGAAUCAUUGGGCGUAAAGCGCGCGUAGGCGGCCCGGUAAGUCCGCUGUAAAAGUCCAGGGCUCAACCCUGGAAAGCCGGUGGUACUGUCGGGCUCGAGUCCGGGAAGAGGCGAGUGGGAAUUCCUGGUGUAGCGGUGGAAUUGCGCAGGAAUAUCAAGGAGGAACACCAUGGCGAAGGCAGCUCGCUGGGGACGGUACUGACGC
rnacentral:rRNA from 1 species